GUUCAAGUACAUAGUGGAUGCUAGGGGUAGUAGUCUUACAACAUGAAUAACACUCCUAUAAUUUUUUUCUAAUGUAGGCCAAAAAAUAUACAAAGAAAAUCCAAGUUCUGAGAAAAAGCCACAAAAUAGCCCUACCCGCAAGCCUGCUUGACAGCCUGACGUGCAGAGAAACAGGCCAGCCAGUAAUUUUUUUUUUAAGGACUACAAAAAUAAUGUCCAGCACAUGAUCUUCAACUGAGGCCAGGAGCUCUCCUCCAAGACGGCGUCGUUGACAUGAUACAUCAUCAUCUGUGGAGAAGAGGCUUCCCGGCCCAGAGACGGCAGGAGAAGAGGAAGUCAGUGGUGGAGGACAGCAAGCGUCAGCUCAUCCAGUUGACUCCGAGAGAGGUCGUCGAGCCCCAGCCAGAGGAAGUCCGGGAACACGCGGCGGUCGUGGUCGUCGUUCCCGAGGCUCCACCAGAACGGAUGAGGACAACAACCUCAUCCAGAUGAUGGAGGACCGACCACCAUUGUGGGACCACGCAGAGCAUAAUGCAUCCCGGCUCCUCUGGCUCUAGAUCUGUGAGGCGAUAGUGCCAAAUUGCGACGACCUCAGUGAAAGUCAUCGGGAUGAGUGCCGGAUGACAAUCAUGGUGUGGUGGCGGUCAAUGAGGUACCGCUAAAAGAAGACUUCAACGAGGAGGUCAAGCGCCCGAGUGGGUCUCGAGGAACACGCAAGCGGCCGUACCAUUAUGCGGCUGCAUUAGGCUUCCUUCGAAGAACCCUACAGCUGCGAAGCACAUCAAGCAGUACUCAGGUGCCCGAACCUCCUCGUGAAGGCCUUCCGGAGGCUAUCGCACCGGAGACGGUCCCUGAAGAGCCACCCACCGCGGGUCCCUCUGGUCCUACUCCAACAGCUGGUUGGGACCUCAAUGUUCCCCUACCUGUGCCCUCUGGCGACUGAAUGAUGGCCAGUAGGAGCCGUCAGGCGGACUACGAGGAUCUCACAAGGCUCGUUUACGAGUCCUUGAUGGGAUUCACCAAUAGAGUUGCCGCUUUGGAGGACACUGUGCGACGUCGCAGUUGGGUCCGGUGCAUCACUAUGGGUUAUGGAAUGGUUUAUGCCCGACCACCUGUUUGAGGCCUGAAGACAGGUGGACAGUGUCUUGUGGCAAGUACAGCACCGCCCCACAUCCUAUCUUCCAUCCAUGCCCUAUCCCCCAUCCCAACCUCAACAACCCCCUUCCCAAACUACCCAUCCCCCUUCCCAACCUCCUCAGUCCCCAUCCUAGCCUCCCCAUUCCCAAUCCGCCGAGCUCUUUACUCAACACUUUUCUCCUCCUCAUUACUUUCCUCCCACCAGUUUCAACACUCCCUCUACUCUUGCUCGGCCAACUCCUUCUCCUGCCCCUCCCUCAAGAUUGCACACUCCCUCUGUUGUACUUGCCACAACACACACUUAUAUGUCCACAGGGGCACAAGAACAGGACC